UCUAUAUCUCGUCAGUUCACGCCAAGCUCGAGCAGUGACGCCAUUUUCAAUAUUGCAGUGUGUGAGUGCUGCAGCCAUGAAGUUCAUUGUAUGUGUCUUCUUGUUGUUGGUGAUCUUGGAGGGAUUCCAAUGUGCACCAUGCUUGGAGUGGUUAUUUGGUUAUCCUCCACGACAAAAUAUUUACAUUGUACAAAAUCAGUACAUUAACUAUGGAAACGGUAAUACCAUGAUCGUGCGUCAAUAUCCUAAUUAUUAUGGAUUUUUAUUAUUAUAAUGUAAUGCUAGUUAAUUUGAAAAAAAGACACCGAACAUAAUACAAGUUAUUAUUAUUAUAAGUCAAUAAAUUAAUAUUAUACCUCUAAGUAUACAUAAUAUGGAUUUUUAUUUACCUAAUAACAUCGUAAUGUAACCAGCACGUUCCGAAGAAGGAAUAAUUAUAAGCCCCUUGUACGUAAUGUAGAAUUCCAUACUUCGUCUUACUGUUGAGAAUUUCGAUAGCUGAAAGUAUAUUUUUAUUGAAAUACCAUCGGCACCAAUCUUAAACACAUAGCUCUGCAAUGGGGCCAGUGUAAAUCUCUCGUUUUUUAUUCAAUAUAAAAUUAUCUAGUGUUACGAACGUCCAUUGGACGUUUAUUAUUUGACAGUUGUUGUGAUUGGACAAAAAUUAUCUUGCUACGUUUGCGCCAUAUAGAUGGCGCAAACGUAGCUCAGCAGCAGCAGCUCAAUAGUGAGCUGAAAAGCGGUAGCCUCCAUUGAAGUCGCAGUGAUGUGACCCAGUCAGAAGGAGUAUUCCUGUUUGAGAGCCUAUUUAUGAGUGUCAUAUAUAAAUAUACCUAAGGUUUAAAAUCGAUGGAGAUCAAAGAUAAAUAGGUGUUCUAGGUGCUCAAACGGGAACACUCUAGAAGAGAAGAGGUUAUGAUAUUAAAUGUCUUAUAUUAAAUGUGUGUAAUUCUAAUCUGGUAUCACCAGACAAAGAAUCAGAUUGGUACAGGUAGACAAAUCUUGCUGCCAUUCCGCCAUGAGAUCGCACCGGAGCUCACCCCGCCACGCACUAAUCUGGCGCGGCAGCGGAGUUUCGCCCCGGCGACGUGCCUUCACGCGCAAACAAAACACACGCACGAGCACCUUCACCUCCAAAUACCAUGGCCUCCCCGGAGAUCAUUGCGAUAUCCGCGGAUCAAUCGGAUCCCUCUAUCUAUGACCCUCUGAAAUGUGAGCAGCGCCCGAGUGGGCUGCCGCAUCAAAUUCGACGCUCACACAGGGGCUCUGUAGAGGGCCAUGGACUGCACGACCCCCACAUAAAACCUCUGGCAGGAGACGUUCGACCCUCCGAGAUUCGGUAGGAGGCGUUUAAGCGCUGAUCCCGUCCCUUCCAACUUAGGAGCCAAACGUCGAAAGUGCUCCACAAAGUUCCACCGACUGUCGAGGACGAGUCCUAGGUACUUCAUCGGCGUCUCGGCGCCAAUGGUAACCCCUCCUGCCGUUAUUUGGGACUCACCCGAAAGUGGCGCGUUCCUGCGGCCAUGAAAA